rnacentral:rRNA from 1 species
UACGUAGGGGGCUAGCGUUGUCCGGAUUUAUUGGGCGUAAAGAGCGCGUAGGCGGCCGUGUAAGUCCGACGUGAAAUCUGGAGGCUCAACCUCCAGCGGUCGUUGGAAACUACCCGGCUAGAGUCCGGAAGAGGAGAGUGGAAUUCCACGUGUAGCAGUGAAAUGCGUAGAUAUCGGGAGGAACACCAGUGGCGAAGGCGGCUACCUGGCCCACUCUUGACGCUGAGGCGCGAAAGCUAGGGGAGCGAACGGG